UACAGAGGCCUCGAGCGUUAAUCGGAAUCACUGGGCUUAAAGGGUGCGUAGGCGGCGCUGCAAGUGCCUUGUGAAAUCCCAUGGCUUAACCAUGGAACUGCUCGGUAGACUGCAGCGCUUGAGGUUGGUAGGGGCAUGCGGAACUGCGGGUGGAGCGGUGAAAUGCGUUGAUAUCCGCAGGAACUCCGGUGGCGAAGGCGGCGUGCUGGACCUCUUCUGACGCUGAGGCGCGAAAGCCAGGGGAGCGGAACGGG
rnacentral:rRNA from 1 species